rnacentral:rRNA from 1 species
ACACGACUACAUUAGAUACCCGGUAGUCCCAGCUGUAAACGAUGCAGACUAGGUGUGUCAGUGACCACGUGUCACUGAGGUGCCGAAGGGAAACCGUGAAACGCACCGCCUGGGGAGUACGGUCGCAAGGCUGAAACUUAAAGGAAUUGGCGGGGGAGCACCACAACGGGUGGAGCUUGCGGUUUAAUUGGAUUCAACGCCGGAAAUCUUACCGGGACCGACAGCAACAUGAAGGCCAGGCUGAAGACUUUGCCGGAUUAGCUG